rnacentral:rRNA from 1 species
AUUGAACGCUGGCGGCAGGCCUAACACAUGCAAGUCGAACGAGUGGCGGACGGGUGAGUAAUGUCUGGGAAACUGCCUGAUGGAGGGGGAUAACUACUGGAAACGGUAGCUAAUACCGCAUACCAUCGGAUGUGCCCAGAUGGGAUUAGCUAGUAGGUGGGGUAAAGGCGAACCUAGGCGACGAUCCCUAGCUGGUCUGCAAGGAUGACCGUACGCACUGGAACUGGGAGACGGUCCAGACUCCUACGGGAGGCAGCAGUGGGGAAUAUUGCACAAUGGGCUCAAGCCUGAUGUAGCCAUGCCGCGUGUAGGAAGAAGGCCUUCGGGUUGUAAAGUACUUUCAGCGGGGAGGCGUUACCCGCAGAAGAAGCACCGGCUAACUCCGUGCCAGCAGCCGCGGUAAUAC